rnacentral:rRNA from 1 species
AUAGGGGUGAAAGGCCAAUCAAAUUCCGUGAUAGCUGGUUCUCUCCGAAAUGCAUUUAGGUGCAGCGUUGCGUGGUUCUUGUUGGAGGUAGAGCACUGGAUGGUCUAGGGGGCUUAUCGGCUUACCGAAAUCAGCCAAACUCCGAAUGCUGGCAAGUGUAGCGUGGCAGUGAGACGGCGGGGGAUAAGCUUCGUCGUCGAGAGGGAAACAGCCCAGAU